rnacentral:rRNA from 1 species
AACGAACGCUGGCGGCAGGCUUAACACAUGCAAGUCGAACGCAUGCCUUCGGGCAUGAGUGGCAGACGGGUGAGUAACGCGUGGGAACCUACCCCUUGGUACGGGAUAGCUCCGGGAAACUGGAGAUAAUACCGUAUGUGUCCUGAGGGACAAAGAUUCAUCGCCAAGGGAUGGGCCCGCGUCGGAUUAGCUAGUUGGUGGGGUAACGGCCUACCAAGGCGACGAUCCGUAGCUGGUCUAAGAGGAUGAUCAGCCACAUUGGGACUGAGACACGGCCCAAACUCCUACGGGAGGCAGCAGUGGGGAAUAUUGGACAAUGGGCGCAAGCCUGAUCCAGCCAUGCCGCGUGAGUGAUGAAGGCCCUAGGGUUGUAAAGCUCUUUCACCGGUGACGAUAAUGACGGUAACCGGAGAAGAAGCCUCGGCUAACUUCGUG